UCCUACCGUAUCCUCCUUGGGUCCUUAUGCGAGAGGACUUCCAGCACCACCAGGGCUACUCGUGGCUCCAAAGGAUGUCCAAGUUUCCCUUCAACUUUGGCAUCGAGCACGUGAGUGACCGGGCCGUCAGCUUCCACGAGGUGCGGGACCCCAGAGACUUCUACACCCUACUGUACCUGACCAGCGACUUGAAGGUUCUUCCUGAAGGCGCAGAGUCUCCAUUUACACUUCCUGAAGGGUGAUUUCCGAUUUCAAUGUAUUAGUUAUCAGUUGAUUUUGUGUACGUUAUUCUGGUAUGGUAGUGUCGAAAAUAAAGGACUUUUUAACCUUAUGAAUCCCCAAAAUGAAACCAAUAAUGAUAAGACAGUGGUCAUUGUAUUUCGGACCAUGCGUGUGCUAACGCCAGUCUGGCCGUGUAGAUGGAUUUACUGCGCUAUAAUAUAGUUAUCCCUUUAACUUUUUCGUUUUCUUCAAUGAUGUAAAUAAAGAUAAUGGGAAUCCAGAAAUCUUUUGCAAAUAUAUGAAUUUACAACAGCAGUAACCAUGAAAACCGACAAUUGAAUGAUUAAUCUAGAAAUAUGUGAGAAAUGUCAGGAAUCAGGUGGCCAGGUGUUUUUUUAGACGUUAUUUCGGCUAAUUAGUUUAUAUCACCGAAACGAUAAACAAAGUGAUAACCAUUCUGAAAUCCUCGUUUGCUAGCACUGUGUUAUCUUGCAAUAAAGCAUUAAAGAUGUG